rnacentral:rRNA from 1 species
UAUCCUGGCUCAGGACGAACGCUGGCGGCGUGCCUAAUACAUGCAAGUCGAGCGAACCGACGAAGUGCUUGCACUUCUGACGUUAGCGGCGGACGGGUGAGUAACACGUAAGGAACCUACCGAUAAGCGGGGGACAACAUCCGGAAACGGGUGCUAAUACCGCAUAGGAAACACCACCUCAUGGUGGUGUUUGGAAAGACGGCUUUGCUGUCACUUAUCGAUGGCCUUGCGGUGCAUUAGCUCGUUGGUGGGGUAACGGCCUACCAAGGCAAUGAUGCAUAGCCGACCUGAGAGGGUAAUCGGCCACAUUGGGACUGAGACACGGCCCAAACUCCUACGGGAGGCAGCAGUAGGGAAUCUUCCGCAAUGGGCGCAAGUCUGACGGAGCAACGCCGCGUGAGUGAAGAAGGUUUUCGGAUCGUAAAGCUCUGUUGUAAGAGAAGAACAAAUUGGAGAGUAACUGCUCCAGUCUUGACGGUAUCUUACCAGAAAGCCACGGCUAACUACGUG